UACGUAGGUGGCAAGCGUUAUCCGGAUUCAUUGGGUUUAAAGGGUGCGUAGGCGGAAUAAUAAGUCAGUGGUGAAAGCCUGCGGCUUAACCGUAGAAAUGCCAUUGAUACUGCUAUUCUUGAGUAUAGUUGAAGUGGGCGGAAUGUGUAAUGUAGCGGUGAAAUGCUUAGAUAUUACACAGAACACCAAUUGCGAAGGCAGCUCACUAAGCUGUUACUGACGCUGAGGCACGAAAGCGUGGGGAGCAAACAGG
rnacentral:rRNA from 1 species